GAUGAACGCUGGCGGCGUGCCUAAUACAUGCAAGUCGAGCGAACAGACGAGGAGCUUGCCCUCCUGCCGUUGCCGCCGGACGGGUAAUUACCAGGGGGAUACCUUACCUUUAGGACUGGGAUACCUUGGGGAACCCGAAGCAAAUACCGGAUAUUAUAUUGACCGGCAGGGUUCAUUGUGCAAAACGGUUUUUGUUGCACCUAAUACAGGAUCCCGCGUCGCAUUAGCUAGUUGGUAAGGUAACGGCUUACCAAGGCAACGAUGCGUAGCCGACCUGAGAGGGUGAUCGGCCACACUGGAACUGAGACACGGUCCAGACUCCUACGGGAGGCAGCAGUAGGGAAUCUUCCGCAAUGGGCGAAAGCCUGACGGAGCAACGCCGCGUGAGUGAUGAAGGUCUUCGGAUCGUAAAACUCUGUUAUUAGGGAAGAACAAAUGUGUAAGUAACUAUGCACGUCUUGACGGUACCUAAUCAGAAAGCCACGGCUAACUACGUG
rnacentral:rRNA from 1 species